rnacentral:rRNA from 1 species
UGAGGAAUAUUGGUCAAUGGGCGCAAGCCUGAACCAGCCAUGCCGCGUGCAGGAAGACGGCCCUACGGGUUGUAAACUGCUUUUCUGCGGGAAGAAUGGCCGCCACGGGUGGUGGUUUGACGGUACCGCAGGAAUAAGGAUCGGCUAACUCCGUGCCAGCAGCCGCGGUAAUACGGAGGAUCCGAGCGUUAUCCGGAUUUACUGGGUUUAAAGGGUGCGUAGGCUGUUCGCUCAGUCAGCGGUGAAAUGGCGCGGCUCAACCGUGCAGCUGCCGUUGAAACUGGCGAGCUUGAGUGGGUUCGAGGCAGGCGGAAUGCGCGGUGUAGCGGUGAAAUGCAUAGAUAUCGCGCAGAACGCCAAUAGCGUAGGCAGCUUGCCAAGCCCCAACUGACGCUGAGGCACGAAAGCGUGGGGAUCAAACA